AUUUAAAACCAGAUGCUCCGCAGGGCGCAGCUUUAUACGACCGCAGAGGUUGAACCCUGAACGGUUGGGGCAAGUAUGGACACAACAUUCAAGCUGGAUUCAGCUCUAAAUUUGGAUUGUGAUUAAAUAGUUGACACAGCAUAGGUUUCUGACACAGAAUGAAUGUGGUCUAAUGAACUUAAAAUAUUCUUUUUGCCUUUGAGAAAUUCACUAUGCUGUUGAAUAUUAAUCCUCUCAAAAAAAAUCUCAA
rnacentral:lncRNA from 1 species